rnacentral:rRNA from 1 species
AUACGUAGGGUGCAAGCGUUGUCCGGAAUCACUGGGCGUAAAGGGUUCGUAGGCGGCUUAUCAAGUCAGGUGUGAAAGGCAUUGGCUCAACCAAUGUAAGCACUUGAAACUGGUAGGCUUGAGUACUGGAGAGGAGAGUGGAAUUCCUAGUGUAGCGGUGAAAUGCGUAGAUAUUAGGAGGAACACCAGUGGCGAAGGCGACUCUCUGGACAGUUACUGACGCUGAGGAACGAAAGCGUGGGGAGCAAACAGGAUUAGAUACCCUGGUAGUCCACGCUGUAAACGAUGAGUGCUAGGUGUUGGGGGCGACAGUCCUCAGUGCCGCAGCUAACGCAUUAAGCACUCCGCCUGGGGAGUACGGUCGCAAGACUGAA